AUGGCGAAUUGAAAGUGGUGGUGUGCCAUCCAAGGAACCACUCAACGAGACUACUUUGCUGCUGGGUAACUUCUUAGGCAGAGAGUCAUGCUGUUAAUGGGAUCAACUUGGAGUGUCCGGGCAUCAACACUUUCACUUUUAUGAAUGUGCCAUCUUCUUGUGACCCAAAUCUAUCAAUAAGUGGUCAGAAGCCAAAACCCACCAGUUGUCAUCCACUUCCCUGAUGAAGAUGCUUUGUCCCAUGCUUCCUCCUUGCUGUCACUCUAGGAGGCAUCUUCUGUGUUACAAAGUUCUUUACCUAAAGACUUGGUAACACAGAUUCAUGAGGAAGACUUGGUAACACAGAUUCAUAAGGCAGACCUCCUUGCAUUGAAGAACAGGCAGUGGGCAGAGAAAGCAUGGCAGUUGGCGGAAGAAACUUGGCAGCAGGCAAGGCGAGAACAGCAGCUCAUGCAGCAGGCAUGCCAAGAGGUUUAUGAGGCACAGUUUCUUGCCUUCAAUUUACUUGUGAAGACCUUAAGGUGGUAGCUUUAAAGCAUUAGUUUAUAAAUAAAUAUAUUUAU
rnacentral:lncRNA from 1 species